rnacentral:rRNA from 1 species
CGCGGCCUAUCAGCUUGUUGGUGGGGUAAUGGCCUACCAAGGCGACGACGGGUAGCCGGCCUGAGAGGGUGUCCGGCCACACUGGGACUGAGAUACGGCCCAGACUCCUACGGGAGGCAGCAGUGGGGAAUAUUGCACAAUGGGCGCAAGCCUGAUGCAGCGACGCCGCGUGGGGGAUGACGGCCUUCGGGUUGUAAACCUCUUUCAGUAGGGACGAAGCGCAAGUGACGGUACCUACAGAAGAAGGACCGGCCAACUACGUGCCAGCAGCCGCGGUAAUACGUAGGGUCCGAGCGUUGUCCGGAAUUACUGGGCGUAAAGAGCUCGUAGGUGGUUUGUCGCGUUGUUCGUGAAAUCUCACAACUCAAUUGUGAGCGUGCGGGCGAUACGGGCAGACUGGAGUACUGCAGGGGAGACUGGAAUUCCUGGUGUAGCGGUGGAAUGCGCAGAUAUCAGGAGGAACACCGGUGGCGAAGGCGGGUCUCUGGGCAGUAACUGACGCUGAGGAGCGAAAGCGUGGGGAGCGAACAGGAUUAGAUACCCUGGUAGUCCACGCCGUAAACGGUGGGUACUAGGUGUGGGUUUCCUUCCUUGGGAUCCGUGCCGUAGCUAACGCAUUAAGUACCCCGCCUGGGGAGUACGG